rnacentral:rRNA from 1 species
CGCGCGGCCCCGGGGUGGCCGCGGCUCGGGAUCCUUGGGAACCGNCCGCGGUGCCGAGCCGGGCCCCGCCGCGUGCACUUUCCGCGGGCAGAGAGCCACAACCGGUUCGGGGGUGAGGCGCGGCAGAUAUGCCGUGGAGGGUUGUAGGUGGGGGCGCUCGCGUCCCUACCAGCCCUCCCCACCGGCGAGCCGC